CUCCUAAUAACUAACCUUAGGUAGACUCUGCCCAAUGACAAUUGAAUGGCCGCAGUAUCCUGACUGUGCUAAGGUAGCAUAAUAAUUUGUCCCUUAAAUAGGGGCUUGAAUGAAGGAGCUGACAUAGGAUUUUCUGUCUUAGUUGUAAAAUUUAACUUAUCCUUAAGGUCAAAAGACUUUAAAUUUUAAGGGGACGACAAGACCCUACAAAACUUUACUUUUAAGCCCGUAGCUUCUUAGAAAAUUAACGCAGCUAAAAAGUUUUACUGGGGCGGUAAGAAUUUAUCUUUUUCCAUUUCUCACUCUAACACUAUUUAUGGAUUUUAUAAUCUUAGCUAUAAAAUUAAUAACAAGUUACUUUAGGGAUAACAGCAUAAUAUCUUCUUAGAGCCCUUAUCGCCGAAGAUGUUUAUGACCUCGAUGUUGAAUUGAAGAUCCUUUAUAGAGCAGCUUUUAUAAAAGGGAGUCUGUUCGACUUUUAAUCCUUC
rnacentral:rRNA from 1 species